AGUACUAAGACAAGAUGAACCAUUAUUAUUAUUAACAAUUAUUAUAAAUAAUUAUUAUAAGCAAUUUUAUACGUUUUGGUACAAUCGAGCCUUUCAAGCGGCAGUUUGUGGCUACGACUACUAUAGUGCAAAAAAUUAUAAGGAGAAUUACGCAAUUUGUUGCAAAGUAUUCAAUGUGCCAUCGGGUUUUCGACGAAGAUGACAUAAUUAGAAAAAAUGGAUUCUUAUCUUACUUGAAGAUGUUAUUACCGACCGAAACAAAUUGAGAAUGGCACAAACAAUAUUCAAGAAAUGUUACGAUGAAGGCAAACUUCCCAUAAUAAGGUACCUGAAGGAGGAAGACUACAACUAUAUGGAAAUCUUGCCAAAGUUACUUACUUUCACAGAUCAGGAUUAAAAACAAAUUGUAGAUUUUCCUUCAUAUAGUAUUACGGACUUCAUAUAGUAUUCAUACAGUAUU